UUAUCMCGGGAGACACACGGCGGGUGCUAACGUCCGUCGUGAAGAGGGAAACAACCCAGACCGCCAGCUAAGGUCCCAAAGUCAUGGUUAAGUGGGAAACGAUGUGGGAAGGCCCAGACAGCCAGGAUGUUGGCUUAGAAGCAGCCAUCAUUUAAAGAAAGCGUAAUAGCUCACUGGUCGAGUCGGCCUGCGCGGAAGAUGUAACGGGGCUAAACCAUGCACCGAAGCUGCGGCAGCGAACGUAUCACCCAAGACAACUUUACGGAGUUGACGAUUGACGGAGCGAAGCGACGUCAAAGCGUUCAUUAAAGUCGAGUUGGCUUAGGGAUACGUUCGUUGGGUAGGGGAGCGUUCUGUAAGCCUGUGAAGGUGUGUCGUGAGGCAUGCUGGAGGUAUCAGAAGUGCGAAUGCUGACAUAAGUAACGAUAAAGCGGGUGAAAAGCCCGCUCGCCGGAAGACCAAGGGUUCCUGUCCAACGUUAAUCGGGGCAGGGUGAGUCGACCCCUAAGGCGAGGCCGAAAGGCGUAGUCGAUGGGAAACGGGUUAAUAUUCCCGUACUUGGUGUUACUGCGAAGGGGGGACGGAGAAGGCUAUGUUGGCCGGGCGACGGUUGUCCCGGUUUAAGCGUGUAGGUGUGUGUUCCAGGUAAAUCCGGUUCACUUUAACACUGAGGCGUGACGACGAGGCACUACGGUGCUGAAGCAACAAAUGCCCUGCUUCCAGGAAAAGCCUCUAAGCAUCAGGUAACACGAAAUCGUACCCCAAACCGACACAGGUGGUCAGGUAGAGAAUACCAAGGCGCUUGAGAGAACUCGGGUGAAGGAACUAGGCAAAAUGGUGCCGUAACUUCGGGAGAAGGCACGCUGACACGUAGGUGAAGUGAUUUACUCAUGGAGCUGAAGUCAGUCGAAGAUACCAGCUGGCUGCAACUGUUUAUUAAAAACACAGCACUGUGCAAACACGAAAGUGGACGUAUACGGUGUGACGCCUGCCCGGUGCCGGAAGGUUAAUUGAUGGGGUCAGCGUAAGCGAAGCUCCUGAUCGAAGCCCCGGUAAACGGCGGCCGUAACUAUAACGGUCCUAAGGUAGCGAAAUUCCUUGUCGGGUAAGUUCCGACCUGCACGAAUGGCGUAAUGAUGGCCAGGCUGUCUCCACCCGAGACUCAGUGAAAUUGAACUCGCUGUGAAGAUGCAGUGUACCCGCGGCAAGACGGAAAGACCCCGUGAACCUUUACUAUAGCUUGACACUGAACAUUGAGCCUUGAUGUGUAGGAUAGGGGGAGGCGUUGAAGUGUGGAAACCAGUCUGCAUGGAGCCGAACUUGAAAUACCACUCUUUAAUGUUUGAUGUUCUAACGUGGACCCG
rnacentral:rRNA from 1 species